rnacentral:rRNA from 1 species
UACGGGGGGAGCAAGCGUUGUUCGGAUUUACUGGGCGUAAAGGGCGCGUAGGCGGCCACCGCAAGUCGACUGUGAAAUCUCCGGGCUUAACCCGGAAAGGUCAGCCGAUACUGCGGGGCUAGAGUGCAGAAGGGGCAACUGGAAUUCUCGGUGUAGCGGUGAAAUGCGUAGAUAUCGAGAGGAACACCUGCGGCGAAGGCGGCCAGCUGGGCCGUCCCUGACACUGAGGCGCGAAGGCGUGGGGAGCGAACGGG